GACGAACGCUGGCGGCGUGCCUAAUACAUGCAAGUAGAACGCUGAAGAGAGGAGCUUGCUCUUCUUGGAUGAGUUGCGAACGGGUGAGUAACGCGUAGGUAACCUGCCUUGUAGCGGGGGAUAACUAUUGGAAACGAUAGCUAAUACCGCAUAACAAUGGAUGACACAUGUCAUUUAUUUGAAAGGGGCAAUUGCUCCACUACAAGAUGGACCUGCGUUGUAUUAGCUAGUAGGUGAGGUAAUGGCUCACCUAGGCGACGAUACAUAGCCGACCUGAGAGGGUGAUCGGCCACACUGGGACUGAGACACGGCCCAGACUCCUACGGGAGGCAGCAGUAGGGAAUCUUCGGCAAUGGGGGCAACCCUGACCGAGCAACGCCGCGUGAGUGAAGAAGGUUUUCGGAUCGUAAAGCUCUGUUGUAAGUCAAGAACGGGUGUGAGAGUGGAAAGUUCACACUGUGACGGUAGCUUACCAGAAGGGACGGCUAACUACGUG
rnacentral:rRNA from 1 species